GAUCCCAUGAGAUAUCAAAGUUAUCUCUUUGGGAAAGGAACCCUGUUUGAAUCAGGGGCUGUGCCGCAACUGUAAUCAUCCCGCAAUACACACUUUGAGUCGUAUACGAAUAGUAUUGAAAAGCCGAAAAGUAAGUUGCAGCGGGACGUAAGUCAGAAAACUAGCAGUCAAUUUGUCUCGAGC
rfam:Microgenomates bacterium GW2011_GWC1_37_12b TS39_C0012, whole genome shotgun sequence.